rnacentral:lncRNA from 1 species
AAUAGCGUAAAUAAUUAUCUAAACAUACGAAACAUAAAUACAAUCGCAUGCAAUAAUAACAUACAGUAACUACCAUAACUAACAGCCAUAGGGGGAACAUCAGCUAAAACACAAAUCAUCUAUGGGUAACCCUGCUGACCCACACCCAACCACGGAUGAGGCGUACGAAAAACUCUAGGAGCCCCUAUCCUACAACCCUGAUUCUAGACCUCAAGACUUUCCUAUCUAGGGUCAUGUCCUCGGAAAUCUGCAUUCUAGUCAUGUCCUGCCUAAUCACCUCACCUCAAUACUUCUUAUGCCUCUCUCUGCCUCGCCGACCGCCAACAAUCUCCAGCCGCUCGCAGCUCC